rnacentral:rRNA from 1 species
GGGUCUACCCAUUGGUCAGGCUUAAUUGUCUGCACUGGUGAGAUGGAUCUCUACCUUCUGAGGAACUUUCAUGCCAUUUAUUUGGUGUGAUUGGAAAUCAGGACUGUUACUUUGAAAAAAUUAGAGUGUUUAAAGCAGACUAUCGUCUGAGUACAUUAGCAUGGAAUAAUGAAAUAGGACGUUCGAUCCUAUUUCAUUGGUUUCUAGGAUCACCGUA